rnacentral:rRNA from 1 species
AGUCGAACGGUAGCAGGAAGUGCUUGCACUUUGCUGACGAGUGGCGGACGGGUGAGUAAUGCUUGGGAACUUGCCUUGAGGUGGGGGAUAACAGUUGGAAACGACUGCUAAUACCGCAUAAUGUCUACGGACCAAAGGGGGCUUCGGCUCUCGCCUUGAGAGAGGCCCAAGUGAGAUUAGCUAGUUGGUGGGGUAAAGGCCUACCAAGGCAACGAUCUCUAGCUGUUCUGAGAGGAAGAUCAGCCACACUGGGACUGAGACACGGCCCAGACUCCUACGGGAGGCAGCAGUGGGGAAUAUUGCACAAUGGGGGAAACCCUGAUGCAGCCAUGCCGCGUGUGUGAAGAAGGCCUUCGGGUUGUAAAGCACUUUCAGUUGUGAGGAAAAGUUAGUAGUUAAUACCUGCUAACCGUGACGUUAACAACAGAAGAAGCACCGGCUAACUCCGUGCCAGCAGCCGCGGUAAUACGGAGGGUGCGAGCGUUAAUCGGAAUUACUGGGCGUAAAGCGCACGCAGGCGGUUUGUUAAGCUAGAUGUGAAAGCCCCGGGCUCAACCUGGGAUGGUGAUUUAGAACUGGCAGACUAGAGUCUUGGAGAGGGGAGUGGAAUUCCAGGUGUAGCGGUGAAAUGCGUAGAUAUCUGGAGGAACAUCAGUGGCGAAGGCGACUCCCUGGCCAAAGACUGACGCUCAUGUGCGAAAGUGUGGGUAGCGAACAGGAUUAGAUACCCUGGUAGUCCACACCGUAAACGCUGUCUACUAGCUGUGUGUGUCUUUAAGACGUGCGUAGCGAAGCUAACGCGCUAAGUAGACCGCCUGGGGAGUACGGGCCGCAGGGUUAAAACUCAAAUGAAUUGACGGGGGCCCGCACAAGCGGUGAGCAUGUGGUUUACUCGAUGCACGCGAGACCUUACCUACACUUGACAUGCAGAGACUUUCUAGAGAUAGAUGUGCUUCGGGACUCUGACACAGUGCUGCAUGCUGUCGUCAGCUCGUGUCGUGAGAUGUGGUAAGUCCCGCACGAGCGCACCCUGGUCGUAGUGCCGCCUUAGUGGCACUCUAAGGAGACUGCCGGUGACAACCGAGAAGUGAACAACAACAGAUCUUCAUCGGCCCUCUUGUUGGCUAACUCCUGCUUCUUGUCGUUUCAAAGGAGCGCAACCGAGUGUGUGUUCCGACCCUAUAUAUGGAUCUGAUCGCGAUGGAAGGUUGCGCCUCCAUUUUGAUCCGGAUACUUAGAACUCCGCGGUGCGCAAAACGUCGUGAAAUGAAAACUUUG